rnacentral:rRNA from 1 species
GGGGGAAUAUUGCACAAUGGGGGAAACCCUGAUGCAGCGACGCCGCGUGAGUGAAGAAGUAUUUCGGUAUGUAAAGCUCUAUCAGCAGGAAAGAAAAUGACGGUACCUGACUAAGAAGCCCCGGCUAACUACGUGCCAGCAGCCGCGGUAAUACGUAGGGGGCAAGCGUUAUCCGGAUUUACUGGGUGUAAAGGGAGCGUAGACGGUAUGGCAAGUCUGAAGUGAAAGCCCAGGGCUCAACCCUGGGACUGCUUUGGAAACUGUCGCACUAGAGUGCAGGAGAGGUAAGUGGAAUUCCUAGUGUAGCGGUGAAAUGCGUAGAUAUUAGGAGGAGCACCAGUGGCGAAGGCGGCUUACUGGACUGUAACUGACGUUGAGGCUCGAAAGCGUGGGGAGCAAAC